rnacentral:lncRNA from 1 species
UAUAUAUAUAUAUAUAUAUCCUUAUCUCAGGAGUUGCUCAAAAGUGCUCGUCUAGUGCUGUGUAUUAUAAACUUUACUGAAGUAUGCAAUAGUGUCUGAGGUACCAAAAAUCUUCCAUUAACAGAGACACAAUUUUUUGUGACCAUGUAUUUGCCACCAAGUUCCCAAAACACUUAACUACAAAGUUCUGGAAGAAUUUAUACGGAGAACUAAUGCAAAGAACAACCCAGUAUACGGGUACAUGUAAACAUUAGGCUACAUUUACAUACCGAGUGCUUGAUGGUUGGUGUUACGAGACUUGUUACGAGUUGUUGUAACAUCUUGCUAUCGUCCUGUAUUUCAACAACUGAUUGACAAGUUGUUGGUGACGACCUUGGAUUAAUGUAAUACAAUUGCUAGAGCAACUAUUAGCUUGUGGAUCCGA